UCACAAAGUUGAGCCAUUGUUACGUA
rnacentral:sRNA from 1 species